rnacentral:rRNA from 1 species
UUAUAUGGUCAAGAAGAGAAGCGCAAACGGUGGAUGCCUUGGCAGUAAGAGGCGAAGAAGGACGUGGAAUCCUGCGAAAAGCUAUGGGGAGCUGGAAACGAGCGUUGAGCCAUAGAUGUCCGAAUGGGGGAACCCGGCUGCAGCGAUGCGGUCAUUUGCAUUUGAAUACAUAGGAUGCAAAGGCGAACUCGGGGAACUGAAACAUCUAAGUACCCGAAGGAAAAGAAAUCAAGAGAGAUUCUCCAAGUAGCGGCGAGCGAACGGGGAGGAGCCUGGCGUGAUUUAUUAUUGAACUGAGUAGAACAAUUUGGGAAAGUUGGCCGAAGAGGGUGAAAGCCCCGUAUACGAAGGUUUGAUGAGGAACUAGGCACGCGAACAAGUAGGCCGGGACACGUGAAAUCCUGGUUGAAGAUGGGUGGACCAUCAUCCAAGGCUAAAUACUACUUACUGACCGAUAGUGAACCAGUACCGUGAGGGAAAGGUGAAAAGAACCCCGGAGAGGGGAGUGAAAUAGAAUCUGAAACCGUUUGCGUACAAGCAGUGGGAGCAUGGUUUAGGCUGUGUGACUGCGUACCUUUUGUAUAAUGGGUCAGCGAGUUACUUUCAGUGGCGAGGUUAACUGAAUAAGGGAGCCGUAGAGAAAUCGAGUCUGAAUAGGGCGAUAGUCGCUGGGAGUAGACCCGAAACCGGGCGAUCUAGCCAUGUGCAGGAUGAAGGUUGGGUAACACCAACUGGAGGUCCGAACCGGGUAAUGUUGAAAAAUUAUCGGAUGACGUGUGGCUAGGAGUGAAAGGCUAAUCAAGCCCGGAGAUAGCUGGUUCUCCCCGAAAGCUAUUUAGGUAGCGCCUCGUGAAUGAUUACUGGGGGUAGAGCACUGUUUCGGCUAGGGGGCUGUCAUGGCUUACCAAACCGAUGCAA